GCAAGGAUACUAUUCUUCAGCCUUCGUGAUGUCCUCGCUAGCCAAGUCAUGUAUGAGAUAAUUUAAGGAUUCUUUGUGGUCAUCACAAAACGUUCAUCUUAAGUGGCAAUUACUGCUUUUCUCUGCUUUCAGCCCCUUCCGUUGUCCAUCUCUUUCGUGCUCCUAAAAAUAUGCAAUGUCAGUAAAAUAUUGAAAAUUUCUCACCGCUAUCAUUUCUGUCAUCGACUACAACAGUCGGUCAUUGAAGUCAGGUACCUAUGACCACCAUAACCGUAACAUAGACGACGACAACGAUAACUUUCGAGGACGAUUCCAAGAAAGAAGACCAACAGGGACGAAAUAAAUACAAUUGAUCUUUCAAACAACCAAGGGCGUCUGCGGCCAACCGGAAGAUUCUCACAGGACCUCCUCGCUCAGUCGAAUCGUUCUCAUUUUCCCUCUCGGGCUCGUGGUCCCUUGCAUCCUGUUUCCAGCACGUUUCGGAAAUUUUCAUUUCAUUUCCAUCGAAUUCAACGACGACAACGCCAACGACAGACGUCCAUCGAUGAUGAUGAUGAUGAUAGCUAGAGCUAGCA